rnacentral:sRNA from 1 species
UGUGCUGCACUGGUCUCCAAACUCAAGAACCAUAAUCGUGAUUCCUUUCUCCUUCAAACUGCUGCACGCUCCAGCUAUUCUGAGACGGAAGGCACAUACUCCUACUACAUUUAGAGCACUACGUAAUGUAGGGAAGUGGUGAAGUGUUUACGGAGCCAAAAAAGAUUUUACAAUUAGUAAUGUGAACUGGUUUCUUGUUGGUAUUUUACUACAUAUAUUUUCUCUCUUUUUUCGGUUGACAAAUGCUGAGGUUCUGAAUCAAGGUAUUAGAAAACAACACAAUCAAAGAGAGAAAUGAAGAGGGAGUCAGUUUGAAAGAGGAAGAUAUGGAGAAUUUUUGUGGGGCGUGCGUAGAGAGAGGUGCUGCUUAUGUUUGGAUUUGUUGUGAC